ACCGAACGAGACACUUCAUAGUACAACGAAUCUGGACAUGAAAUAUGUCAUGUUUCGUUGUACUAUGAAGUAUCUCGU
rnacentral:miRNA from 1 species